CAGCAGAUAUCUACGCGUCCUGUUGUCUGCUUUAACUUCCUCACUGAUAUGUUUAUAAAAUCAACGUGAAGCGUGCCUGCUACGCUGUGAAAGAAUUAUAUUUGAUCAAAUAUAACCCGGUGCUUGAAUAUUAACGUUACUCUUAAACUAUCUUAACAAAGGAGGACAACACAUUUCAAGAUGAAGUAUCAAGUACUGUUAGUUCUAAUUUUGCUGGCGAGCCUUCAGAACCCCUUAUGUUCGACGGAAACCACUACUGAAUCUACUUCAACGACGACAUCAACUACACCCACUACAUCUUCUACAUUUGCUACAACAACUACACGUUCGACAUCUACUUCUUCUUCUACACCUACGACAAGAACUUCAUCAAACAAAACAAACGCAUCUCAAGCUCCGGAAACCAGUGGCGCCAGUAGUGUUGACGCAAUCCCGUUCACGUUUGUCCUUCUGUCCGCGAUCAUUGCAAUGAGAGCUUAACUGUCUUAAGAUUUGUAUUAGUUGCAUUGAUUCAAACUGUUAAUCCGUCUUACAACUAUGCGACAACUGGAUUGUUCAAUACUCUCGUUCGACUUUUGUGACAAUGUAUUACACAGUCUUCAUGAUCCGUACACUCUACUGUUUUUUGUUGUAUUGACCAAAAUAGCCAAAAUGCAAAUUAUCUAUACAGUAAUACACAUGAUGUGUAAAUAAAGAAUUUGUAAACGCUAAAAACCAUAUUAAGCUGGUGGAAUAUUACCUCAGCCAUCAACAAGUUGCUUUCAAUCAAUGUUUCCCUGUUAUUGUAUAUUGUGUAUGAUAGUCUGUAAUGUUGUUUGCUUUCCUGAAAACGUGUAUAUCUAGGACGAAAGGUAAAUUUCGAAAAAAAUUCUCUACUGAAAAUAAUGUUAAAUUGUUUUUAUGACUUUCUACCUGUAAUAGUUAACUCUUUUAAGUUUUGAUGAAGCGGCAGGCAACAUGAUUUAUCUCAAUAAAUGUGAUAGUCUUAUAAAGCUUA